rnacentral:rRNA from 1 species
CCUACGGGUGGCUGCAGUGGGGAAUAUUGGACAAUGGGGGGAACCCUGAUCCAGCCAUGCCGCGUGUGUGAAGAAGGCCCUCGGGUUGUAAAGCACUUUCAGUGAGGAAGAACGCCUGGUGGUUAAUACCCAUCAGGAAAGACAUCACUCACAGAAGAAGCACCGGCUAACUCCGUGCCAGCAGCCGCGGUAAUACGGAGGGUGCGAGCGUUAAUCGGAAUUACUGGGCGUAAAGCGUGCGUAGGUGGCUUGAUAAGCCGGUUGUGAAAGCCCCGGGCUCAACCUGGGAACGGCAUCCGGAACUGUCAAGCUAGAGUGCAGGAGAGGAAGGUAGAAUUCCCGGUGUAGCGGUGAAAUGCGUAGAGAUCGGGAGGAAUACCAGUGGCGAAGGCGGCCUUCUGGACUGACACUGACACUGAGGUGCGAAAGCGUGGGUAGCAAACAGGAUUAGAUACCCCAGUAGUC